rnacentral:ncRNA from 1 species
AUAGAUAAAAUUGUACCCUAAGAUUGAAAAGUCAGAGAUUGGUGACACGGGGUCGUUUUGUCCGUGUCAAGUUUCGGACGAUGCUGAUGUGGACUCCCUAUAUGGCAACUGACACUAAGAGACGAAAGCUAGGGGAGCGAAUGAGAAUAGAUACCCCAGUAGUCGUAAACAAUGGAUACUAGGUGCUAUCCGUAUUGACCCGUGUAAUGCUGUAGCUAACAUGUUAAAUAUCCUGUCUGGGGAGUACGUUUACAAGAAUGAAACUCAAAGAAAUUAAUGGGGGCCCAACUUUCUAUUCACUUGUGUAAUGCUGUAGCUAACAUGUUAA